GAGGAGGCCCAUCUGCUCUGUACCCAAGGGAGGCAUGUUGCCAAUGCCCUCCCUGGGCUUGAAGGAAAUAAUUGGACUCAUUAAGUUGCUUUUCACUCUUCUUUUCUUUAGUAUAAAUAACCCUUAGGUUAAUUAGACAUGGUUUCUAGCCUCGGGAAAUUUUUCUGUGUGUGGUUAGUAAUGGAGAGAAUGGUCAUAAACUCAAUAAUUAAAUUUUCAGUUUUGCAAAUGCAAGAGAAUGGCAAGGUACCUGUAAGAUGUCUUUAAAAAUCAAUAGUCCUUGUGAAACUAAUAUCUUAUAUCAAUAAUUCUGCAACUAUUAGGUCAUAAUUGAGAUGGUUCUGUUACGGUAACAAAACAGUUAAUCUCAGUGCAUGCCUGGCCAAGUGUGCCAUUCAUUAACAGACAGAAUCAUGUAGAGCACUUGCUGCCCAGCCCUGGCUACACAUAUAUCUGGGUUUGUUUUUAAAAUGGUGUUGCCUGGGCCUAAUCCCAGAGCAAUGGAAUAAGUAUCUCUGAGUCAUUCUAAUAUCCAACUGCGGGUGAGGACCACUGGUGAAGUGAACAAGAACGGACUGACAGGGCAUGAUUCCAGAUCACGAUUUCAGAACGCAUCCUGGCCAGCAGGGAGCUGCCCGAGUUAUCCUCAGGAACACCUUGGCCUCCUGAGAAUCUGCCCAACCAAAAUUCCUGGGAGCAGGGCCAGACUCACUCAGGCGAUUUCUGGUCUUGCCGGGGAAUCAGUUUUGAGCCAGAACCUAUUCCAAGUUGGGAGGUUUCUCAUCAUCCACCAUCCCCCAAAUGAUGUCUGAGCACCCUGGCCUGUCUUCAGCAAGAAUGUCAUUAAGUAGCUUCAGCCAGGACUCCCCCUUACCCUUGAGGAUUCUCUUAGCAAUUUUCCAUCCACUGAUGCCAUGCUGCUCCUUGGAUGUCAAUUCCCAUUUGCGUAUGCUGUAUUUGAAGUAGAGCCCAGUCUCUCUCUCCCACUGCAAAAUGUCACUGUAGAGAUCUCUACACCUAUGCUAAUCAUCUAAAUAAAGUCUGCCUUACCAUACUUUAACAA